rnacentral:rRNA from 1 species
UACGUAGUGUGCGAGCGUUAAUCGGAAUUACUGGGCGUAAAGCGUGCGCAGGCGGUUUUAUAAGCCAGAUGUGAAAGCCCCGGGCUCAACCUGGGAAUGGCAUUUGGGACUGUAAGGCUGGAGUAUGGCAGAGGAGACUAGAAUUCCUGGUGUAGCAGUGAAAUGCGUAGAUAUCAGGAGGAACACCUAUGGCGAAGGCAGCUCGCUGGGACGUUACUGACGCUGAGACGCGAAAGCGUGGGGAGCAAACAGG